GACGAACGCUGGCGGCGUGCCUAAUACAUGCAAGUGGGACGCAAGGGAACACACUGUGCUUGCACACCGUGUUUUCUUGAGUCGCGAACGGGUGAGUAACGCGUAGGUAACCUGCCUAUUAGCGGGGGAUAACUAUUGGAAACGAUAGCUAAUACCGCAUAAUAUUAAUUAUUGCAUGAUAAUUGAUUGAAAGAUGCAAGCGCAUCACUAGUAGAUGGACCUGCGUUGUAUUAGCUAGUUGGUAAGGUAAGAGCUUACCAAGGCGACGAUACAUAGCCGACCUGAGAGGGUGAUCGGCCACACUGGGGCUGAGACACGGCCCAGACUCCUACGGGAGGCAGCAGUAGGGAAUCUUCGGCAAUGGACGAAAGUCUGACCGAGCAACGCCGCGUGAGUGAAGAAGGUUUUCGGAUCGUAAAGCUCUGUUGUAAGUCAAGAACGUGUGUGAGAGUGGAAAGUUCACACAGUGACGGUAGCUACCAGAAA
rnacentral:rRNA from 1 species